rnacentral:misc_RNA from 1 species
UGGUUCUGGCAUCGAUGAAGAACGCAGCGAAAUGCGAAAAGUAAUGCGAAUUGCAGAAUUCCGUGAGUCAUCGAAUCUUUGAACGCACAUUGCGCCCCCUGGUAUUCCGGAGGGCAUGCCUGUCCGAGCGUCAGUAUCCAUCUCAAGCUUAGCUUGUUGUUGGGUCGACCGUCUGGUCGCCCUGAAACGCAGCGGCGGCACCGUUUGGUCGUAACGCAACGAGCUUCGGCACGCGUUCCGGUUAAAGCGGCCCGCCUACCACUUCUAGGUUGACCUCGGAUCAGACAGGAUUACCCGCUGA